UACGUAGGUGGCAAGCGUUGUCCGGAAUUAUUGGGCGUAAAGCGCGCGCAGGCGGCCUUUUAAGUCUGAUGUGAAAGCCCACGGCUCAACCGUGGAAGGUCAUUGGAAACUGAAAGGCUUGAGUACAGAAGAGGAAAGCGGAAUUCCACGUGUAGCGGUGAAAUGCGUAGAGAUGUGGAGGAACACCAGUGGCGAAGGCGGGUCUCUGGACAGUUCCUGACACUGAGGCACGAAGGCCAGGGGAGCAAACGGG
rnacentral:rRNA from 1 species